UUUUUGUUUGCGUUAGGGGUAGAGGCGAUAUCCUUUUGCCGGCGAAGCAAGGCAAAAGAUAAAGCCGAAAACCCGACCGAAG
rnacentral:misc_RNA from 1 species